GGAACCCAUGCUGAAUGAAGCCUUUGAGGGGAUGAAGAUGAGAGGCACCAAGGCUGAGACUAAUGGAUCCCAGUCACAGAAACUACUCAGUAAAGAGGAUGAAGACCUGAAAUGGGUUGAGGAGAACAUUCCCACGACUGUCGCUGACGUAGCCCUCCCAGUAAUGCUUGACGAAGAGGAGGAAAUUCUGAAAACCAAGAUGGAGAGAUCCAAAAUGGAAUGACCGAGUGGAGGGGUUUCACCGAGUGGAGGGGUUUCACCCAGUGGAGGGGUUUCACCGAGGCAGCCAUUGAUGGAGUCAAAUGAAGUGACCCAUCAGAUCCUAUAUUUAUAACACUUUUAUGUUCCUUCAUUUUGAGCACCGCCAUGCAGCCGCUAAUAAACUCUACGGCUUUGCCAAAUGGCCCCCUAUUCCCUCUGUAGUGCACUACUGUUGACCAGGGCCCUAUUCCCUAUAUAGUGCACUACUGUUGACCAGAGCCCUAUUCCCUAUAUAGAACACUACUGUUGCCAAGGGCCCAUAGGGAAGUGCACUACUGUUGACCGAUAGGGUCCCUGGUCAACAGUAGUGCACUACCCAAUGGGCCCUGGUCAACAGUAGUGCCCUACCCUAUGGGCCCUGGUCAACAGUAGUACACUACCCUAUGGGCCCAGGUCAACAGUAGUGCACUACCCUAUGGGCCCUGGUCAACAGUAGUGCACUACCCUAUGGGCCCUGGUCAACAGUAGUGCACUACCCUAUGGGCCCUGGUCAACAGUAGUGCACUACCCUAUGGGCCCAGGUCAACAGUAGUACACUACCCUAUGGGCCCUGGUCAACAGUAGUACACUACCCUAUGGGCCCUGGUCAACAGUAGUGCACUACCCUAUGGGCCCUGGUCAACAGUAGUGCACUACCCUAUGGGCCCUGGUCAACAGUAGUGCACUACCCUGUGGGCCCAGGUCAACAGUAGUGCCCUACCCUAUUGGCCCUGGUCAACAGUAGUGCACUACCCUAUGGGCCCUGGUCAACAGUAGUGCACUACCCUAUGGGCCCUGGUCAACAGUAGUGCACUACCCUAUGGGCCCUGGUCAACAGUAGUGCACUACCCUAUGGGAUGCCAGGGUAGUGGGUUCGAUCCCGGGACCACCCAUACGUAGAAUGUAUGCACACAUGACUGUAAGUCGCUCUGGAUAAAAGCGUCUGCUAAAUGGCAUAUAUUAUUAUUAUAUUAUGUCACUUGGCCCAGUGAGUCAGUCAGUCUGCCAUUGACACCUAUCUAUAUUAGUAUUGACACAGUGCAGUCUGAUAAUUUGUCAGAUUUAAAUAAAUAAUUUAUGUGUCACUGUUAAGUCUUUUUAUGUUAGUUUCUGCCACCACCUCCCAAGAUAAUUAAUUUGACCCCCCCAACGCUGGCACAGUGCAAGUUAAACACAGCCUGUGAGGCCAGACGAGGCCCUCUCACCCAGUAAUUUAUUCUACAGACAUCAUUAUGGUUUUGUAAUGUUCAAUUGUCCUGCACUGCAUUGUUUUUGUUUGUUUAGCAGGACAGCAUCUAAUGUACAGUAAAGUGGGUCUGUGUUGUAAUUUCUUUGUUACAUUUUAUUGUAUGCAUUUUUUUGCUGUUUAUUCUGGGAUUAAAGUUUAUAUUAAAAUGUCACCAAAUUAAUACAA